rnacentral:rRNA from 1 species
UACGUAGGGGGCAAGCGUUGUCCGGAAUCAUUGGGCGUAAAGAGCGUGUAGGCGGCUCGGUAAGUCCGCUGUGAAAGUCCAAGGCUCAACCCUGGAAUGCCGGUGGAAACUGUCGAGCUAGAGUCCGGAAGAGGCGAGUGGAAUUCCUGGUGUAGCGGUGAAAUGCGCAGAUAUCAGGAGGAACACCGGUGGCGAAGGCGGGUCUCUGGGCCGAAAUUGACGCUGAGGAGCGAAAGCGUGGGGAGCAAACAGG